rnacentral:tRNA from 1 species
GCCACCGUAGCUCAGUUGGCCAGAGCAGCGGUUUUGUAAACCGCAGGUCGACGGUUCGAGUCCGUCCGGUGGCU